CCUACAGCAGCUGGAGAGGUGAUGUUGUACAAGGACCAGCACAGUCACCCUAGGGCAGUGCCAGCAGCCGAGAUCCUGGGUAUACAAUCAGGAGAGCAGUGAACCAUCAAAACCAGAGGAGGCUUUUACACUACCAUCUGAAAGGGCAAUGAGCAAGGGCAAGCCCUUGUUUUCCUGAAGUCAAGCAGGCUGGGAACUGGUGUCUCCUGCACUGGUAGCAGAGCACUGAAUUUUGGGCAGCUACAGAACUCAAAAAGACAUGCCAGCAGUAGAUGAAGAGGAUUUGGAAGCUCUCCGGAGGUGUGGAGGAGGGAAGAGAAGGUUUAAGGUGGACCGAAGGGAUUUGCACCCUCCUCCUUCUGCGCUGCCCACACUCAUGUCUCUGCAGCCCUUCCCUUGGUUCCCCGCAACACUUUGCAACACUCUUCCACUAAGGAGAUGCAUAAGGAAAGAACAGGCUGCUGCAGAGGAUAAUCAAGCAUCUAAGGGAUGUCAGAUGAAUUGUCUGCUAGAGGUUCAUGUUUCACUUCUUUAGUCAUGCCCACAGACUUUAGAUUUACAAUUUUCUCGUAUCUUGCAUAAAGUGGGACGAAUCCCACUUAGGCUGCAGCAACACGUGGCGCAGGCAGAGCGGACAGCAGUCAUUUUUUCAAACUUCCUUUUGGGAUCAAAUCACAAAUCAAAACAAUUUACAAACCUCCGUUUAUCCUCUUUUU